GUCAGGAUGGCCGAGUGGUCUAAGGCGCUGCGUUCAGGUCGCAGUCUCCUCUGGAGGCGUGGGUUUGAAUCCCACUUCUGACA
rnacentral:tRNA from 1 species